rnacentral:tRNA from 1 species
GUUCUCAUAGUUAAGUGGAUAUAACAUGCCCCUCCUAAGGGCAGGUCGCCAGUUCGACUCUGGCUGGGAACA